GUGGGGAAUAUUGGGCAAUGGAGGGAACUCUGACCCAGCAAUGCCGCGUGAGUGAAGAAGGUUUUCGGAUUGUAAAACUCUUUAAGCAGGGACGAAGAAAGUGACGGUACCUGCAGAAUAAGCAUCGGCUAACUACGUGCCAGCAGCCGCGGUAAUACGUAGGAUGCAAGCGUUAUCCGGAAUGACUGGGCGUAAAGGGUGCGUAGGCGGUAAAUCAAGUUGGCAGCGUAAUUCCGGGGCUUAACUCCGGAACUACUGCCAAAACUGGUGAACUAGAGUGUGUCAGGGGUAAGUGGAAUUCCUAGUGUAGCGGUGGAAUGCGUAGAUAUUAGGAGGAACACCGGAGGCGAAAGCGACUUACUGGGGCACAACUGACGCUGAGGCACGAAAGCGUGGGGAGCAAACAGGAUUAGAAACCCCGGUAGUCC
rnacentral:rRNA from 1 species